rnacentral:rRNA from 1 species
GAUGAACGCUGGCGGCGUGCCUAAUACAUGCAAGUCGAGCGAAUGGAUUAAGAGCUUGCUCUUAUGAAGUUAGCGGCGGACGGGUGAGUAACACGUGGGUAACCUGCCCAUAAGACUGGGAUAACUCCGGGAAACCGGGGCUAAUACCGGAUAACAUUUUGAACCGCAUGGUUCGAAAUUGAAAGGCGGCUUCGGCUGUCACUUAUGGAUGGACCCGCGUCGCAUUAGCUAGUGGGUGAGGUAACGGCUCACCAAGGCAACGAGGCGUAGCCGAGCUGAGAGGGUGAUCGGCCACCCUGGGACUGAGACACGGGCCGGCCUACUACGGGCGGCAGCAGUAGGGAAUCUUCCGCGAUGUACGAAAGUCUGACGGAGCAGCGCCGCGUGAGUGAUGAAGGCUUUCGGGUCGUAAAUCUCUGUUGUUAGGGAAGAACAAGUGCUAGUUGAAUAAGCUGGCACCUUGACGGUACCUAACCAGAAAGCCACGGCUAACUACGUGCCAGCCGCCGCCGUAA